rnacentral:rRNA from 1 species
GAUGAACGCUGGCGGCGUGCCUAAUACAUGCAAGUCGAGCGAACAGACGAGGAGCUUGUUCCUCUGACGUUAGCGGCGGACGGGUGAGUAACACGUGGAUAACCUACCUAUAAGACUGGGAUAACUUCGGGAAACCGGAGCUAAUACCGGAUAAUAUAUUGAACCGCAUGGUUCAAUAGUGAAAGACGGUUUUGCUGUCACUUAUAGAUGGAUCCGCGCCGCAUUAGCUAGUUGGUAAGGUAACGGCUUACCAAGGCAACGAUGCGUAGCCGACCUGAGAGGGUGAUCGCCCACACUGGAACUGAGACACGGUCCAGACUCCUACGGGAGGCAGCAGUAGGGAAUCUUCCGCAAUGGGCGAAAGCUUGACGGAGCAACGCCGCGUGAGUGAUGAAGGUCUUCGGAUCGUAAAACUCUGUUAUUAGGGAAGAACAAAUGUGUAAGUAACUAUGCACGUCUUGACGGUACCUAAUCAGAAAGCCACGGCUAACUACGUG